CUUUUUGCCUGCACCUGUGGGGUGGGGGGAGGUCAUAUGUAGGCGGGGCUCUAAUUCCUUCUCUGGGAGGCUCUUUCCUGGCUCCUAUCUGGAAAUCUCCUCCUUCCCACAAUCCUUUGCUCUGCUGCUGGGGAACUGGAGGGAUCAAACCAGAAGACAAGUGGUCAAAACACACACUCCAACGCACACACUGCGACACGCACACACACUCCAACAGGUGGACAACCUGCACUGCUUCCAAGCUGAGCCCCGAAUGACGUCACACAGAAGGAGAGGUGAUGACCACACCUGGUCCUCAGUCCAAACUGGAUGCAGCGAGAACAAAUGAAACAUGGCAGGAUCACCUGCGUGACCACAGUGAGCCCGAUGACUCAGCGACUGUUGAACUGAACGCAGUGCGGCGCCACAAUGACACAUCGUACAAACGAGAGGGGACGCGGAACACGGAGGAUGAUGUAAAAGUUGGGGAACCGCAGGCGGUGUGUUUAGAGCUGCUACCUGCCAUUUGGAGGACACGGGCUUGAAUCCCCCUG